GGCGCGCGCCCGCGUCCGCGCACUGAGAGUCGCCUCGGCCGCUCGCUUUCUCGACUCCCGCCUCGCGCCUCGAUCCUGUUCCGCCUCCCUCGGCCCUCCUGCCCGCCCCCACUCGUCGGCCCUCAGGUUCCUGGAAAGUGAAAAUUUCAUUUCUUUGUGGACAGCUCAGAGACCUAAUAGGAUGGGGUCUUAGAGAAACAUCUUUUGAGCCACAGACUUCUUUGUUACCAGAAGGAAAAUGAAAGAAGAAAUUUAAAUACCACUUGAAGAGAGGUGAGAACCCUUUGUUAAGCUGUGUAACCUCUGUGCAUAGUUUCCUCAUCAGCAAAGUCAGAAAAAGUAUGUACCUGAAGGACUGAUUGUAAGGCUGGGAUGAGAGAAUCCAUGUGAUCAGCCCUCACCAACAGGUGCUGCCCAGUUCAUGAGUGCUGCUGCUGUCCUGCCCAAGUACCCAGCUUGCAGAGUGCCAGAGUUAGAGUCCCAGGGGUGUUCUCCACAGCUGCAUGCUUGAUCCAGGCCUAUCAGGUGUUAUUUGUUGACGGAACCAGGCAUCAUCAGCAAACAAAACUGACAAAGCUUCCUGCCCUCUGUGGAAGGCAUCUGAGGAAGAGACUGGAUUUUGUAGCAACAUGUUAUUCUCAUUAUAAACUUUAUCAUUGGAAUACUAAAGCCAAAUCAUCCCCCAUCUCCUUGAUCAGGAUACCCACUUAAUCUAGGCAGCUACACAAUUGUGAGAGCCUUUGUUUUUUUCUGCUGAAACAUCCUUAAAAAGAUACCUCACAACCCAAGAUUUGGCUUUUCUUAAAUACGAUUUUUAAUUUUUUUCAUUUCUAUCUAGAGAUUUAAUUGGAAAUGGAAAAUCAUCAAUUUUCCAAUUAAAUGUCUGUUCCAAUCAACAUUAUACCUUUUAGGUUGUCAUUGUCAUUUUUAAGUUUAAGCAACUUUAAGGAUUUUGAAUCUGGCUGCCUGUAAAUUAAAGGUGAAAGUAAUCAUUGUGUUGGAUUGGAACAUUUUGUCAAUUGAGAGUGGUUUCCUUGUUCUUAGUGUAUGAAAAGUUUAUUUUUCUAAUGUAGAUUAAUAAAGGAGAUAAAGAAAAACAAAA
rnacentral:lncRNA from 1 species